rfam:Salmo salar isolate Sally breed double haploid chromosome ssa10, whole genome shotgun sequence.
AAUGCACCAAUUUGUAAGUCGCUCUGGAUAAGAGCGUCUGAAAAAUGACGUAAA